AUGUUAUAUAUUAAAUGUAAAGACCUGUGAAUCCACAAUUAAUUGAGUUUUGUAAUUUCUUGAAAAAAAAAAUCACUGUUAAAUUCUAGUAUAUCAGUAUGAUCUUAAGUGUCAGUGCUGAACCAUGAUACUAUCCUCAUGAGUUCAAACAACACAUUUUAUGUCUGGAAUUUCAUCAGGCCAGUAUUCUGUAGUUAAAGAGAGAAUGUAAUAUUUAGGAGAACUUGAGAGGUUAAUCAGGAAAUAGAGAGUACAUACUAAUGGUUCUUUGUCACAGUGAACCCUUUAUUGGUGGGGCUUCAGCUCUUACUGUAUCAGACCUAGCAUCUGUUAUUUUAAGCCUACAGAUUUGAAUGCUUAUAGGCUCUUUCCCAUUGUUUCAUCAUAAAUCUGCCAAAGUAAGAAAGAACUUGGCUUCCAAGGUUUAUGCCAUGGUGAGAAACGAUCUUUUCCAGUAGUUCCCGGAGGAAAUUUUUGGCUUGCUGAUCUUCCCAAAUGCUUCCCACCAGACAAAUCCUAAAUGAAGUCUAUUUAGGAGAGUCACACUAUUAUUAUAACUUUAGCCUAUUCUGCAGUAUUCAAGUUUAAAGUUGCAGAACCAUCAUUUUGCAAGUAUGUUAGAUAAUUAUAGACUUGGAGCUUUUUAAGGCUCAAAGGUUAGAAAUCCUCUUGUAGGAGACAUACUCCAUGGUUAGGGAUGCUAGGGAGGGGACCUGCCCAAGAUGGGUUUCCAUGGUCUUAUUUAUCCCUCCUUUAUUUCCACGGUAAAGUAUGGAAAAUAAACCACUGCUUGAGAUAUCUAAGGUUAAUAAACUCUUAGGGAUGCCUCUCCUGGUUCUCUACCUUGCACAAUAAAAGAACCUAUGAGACCUUGAAAGUUACAUCCCUCUGGGCCUGUACAUUUCAACAAAGUGGUUUAAGUGCUUGAAUGUCACAAUAUAUGACCAAAGUUGGAGAAAAUGUUUCUUCUCCUGAC
rnacentral:lncRNA from 1 species